AAGCGGAUCUCUUAAAGCUGUUCUCAGUUCGGACUGCAGUCUGCAACUCGACUGCACGAAGCUGGAAUCGCUAGUAAUCGCGGAUCAGCACGCCGCGGUGAAUACGUUCCCGGGCCUUGUACACACCGCCCGUCACACCAUGGAAGACUGCAAUGCCCGAAGCCGGUGGCCUAAUCACUUAUGUGGAAGGAGCCGUCUAAGGCAGGGCAGAUGACUGGGGUGAAGUCGUAACAAGGUAGC
rnacentral:rRNA from 1 species